AGUGAACGCUGGCGGUAGGCCUAACACAUGCAAGUCGAACGGCAGCACAGUAAGAGCUUGCUCUUACGGGUGGCGAGUGGCGGACGGGUGAGGAAUACAUCGGAAUCUACUUUUUCGUGGGGGAUAACGUAGGGAAACUUACGCUAAUACCGCAUACGCCCUACGGUUGAAAGCAGGGGAUCUUCGGACCUUGCGCGAUUGAAUGAGCCGAUGUCGGAUUAGCUAGUUGGCGGGUUAAAGGCCCACCAAGGCGACGAUCCGUAGCUGGUCUGAGAGGAUGAUCAGCCACACUGGAACUGAGACACGGUCCAGACUCCUACGGGAGGCAGCAGUGGGGAAUAUUGGACAAUGGGCGCAAGCCUGAUCCAGCCAUACCGCGUGGGUGAAGAAGGCCUUCGGGUUGUAAAGCCCUUUUGUUGGGAAAGAAAAGCAGCAGGUUAAUACCCCGCUGUUCUGACGGUACCCAAAGAAUAAGCACCGGCUAACUUCGUG
rnacentral:rRNA from 1 species